ensembl:lncRNA
AUGUGUGUGACAGCUGAUGCUCCAUCCAGGUUCUCAUUGGACCUGGGUGUGGUUUUAAUGGGUGCGGUUUUAAUGAAUUUCCCUGUUGAGAUCAGAGAUCAGUUCUCUGUGCUGCAGCUCACACUGAAGACUUCUAAAUCAGUCCUGAGUCUGAGCAUGACGAGCCAUUUCAACCAGAGAGGACGCAACCUCGUGUUUAAAGGUCUGCACUUGAAACUGAAGGAUUUGAGAAAGAAAGCAGAAGAAGAAGGUUGGAAAAACCGGUACCUCUUCAAAGACCACAUCCCAGCGUACCCCCGACCAGAGUUUCAUGUGUCUCAUCUGAAACACGACACCGACCAAGCUGGAUUACGUGGGAUCAGGAGGGACGGUGGCUUUAGGAACCCGGCUGAUGGCUCUCUGCUGUGGUGGAGUCUGGUUGUGGGAUCUGAUGAGAUAAGGUCCGCUGAGAGGAGGCUCCUGGAGACCACCUACCCAGACCGGACAGAGGAGCAGGCCCAGAAGCAGCAGAGCUUCCUGGAGAAGUUUGCAACCUCCCCAGUCUUCAUGGAGUCCUCCAGGCUGGGCUCGUACCGCUUCACCUUCCCCCUGGAGGAGGUUCUGAAGGCCUACAGAGACCAGUUUUGUUCCGGUGCUCAACCCGUCAUGAGGUUGUUCAGGACCAUCCUGUACAAACAGGAAGUGAUGUACGCGGUGCUGGUCCACAGCCCGGCCAAUCAGCAGCUGUUCUCAGACCUUCCUCUGCUGACUGACGACCCAAACUCUGUGUGCACUUACAGAGACGGACACUUCAUCUGGAGGUCUGAGGCCAUGUGUGAGACACACAGGUAGGAACUGAGCACUGAGGUUCUGUAACACCUGCUGUCUGCUUCCUGUCUGGUUGUCCUGUUGCUGACUGUUAUCUUCUGCCUGACGCUGCUUCCUCUCUCCACUGAUCCCACCAAAAUAUCUGUACGUUUACAGGUUCUUCCUGUGUAUGUUUUAUAAACAUGGAAAUAUUCAUUCAAUUACACAAAUACAGUGUGAAUUCACACCAAUCAUCAAUCCACAAUCAUAAAAAUAAUGCUUAUUUAAAGAAAAUGUACUUUUUUUCACAUAAAAAGUUUAAAAUAUAUUUUUUCGCCAGAGAAAGAGAAAAAUCAAAUAAUAACAGCACUCUGCUGUAAGCCUGAUUAUUUGUAUUAUAA